CCCUCAGGACACACCUGCUCUCACAUCAAGAACUUCUGACAAGUGAUUUAAAUAUGUCAAAUAAUUUGAAGUCAUGUUUAGACUGUGAGUUUCAGCAAAGUAAUGAGUUCCAUUGAUACAAACUAGUAAGUGAGAUUGCUGGGUGUGCACGUGUUAGGGAAGUGAUUCCCCAUGCACCCAGCGCUGAAAUCAAGUAACGCCUCCUUUCUAAUGCUGAGAUGGCAGCAGGCAUGGAGCCCUGCUUGGUAACCUCUCAUGGUGGUCACUUCUACUGAAGAGCAAAGAAAGGUCAAAAUGAAACAUUUUCCAGUCCUUUCCCUCUGGUUGACCUUUUCUGGGGGCCAAAGCUCUGUGCCCCAGGUGGCCUGGUUGUGUGCAGAGAAAUGCAGCCCCCGCAAAGCCCUUGGUUUUCCCACAAGUCAUCAUCACUCCUUCCCAGGUGCCCCCAGCUGUGGCAGGAGAGAGAGAGCCCACGGCGCAGUGGGCACUGUGCCCUCCCAGCCGGGGCUCUCUGGCACAGAGCAGCAGCAGUGCCAGCACCUUUCAACCCGCUCCUGGCCUUGGCUUCACGCGGGAGCCAGAAGCCUCUGGAAAUCAGCACUGCCAGUUGCGUUCCCAGCUUGGAGCAGCUCCUGCGGGUGGGCAAAUCCUGCCCGUUUGACUGCUUCCAAAGAGGAAUAAAGGCAGAGGUCACCUGUUCCAUGUAUUCAGAGGAGUUGAUCCUGAGAGCACAGAAGCAACCGCAGGCUCUCCUCUGGCUCCCUC